rnacentral:rRNA from 1 species
UACAGAGGUCUCAAGCGUUGUUCGGAUUCAUUGGGCGUAAAGGGUGCGUAGGCGGCGCGGUAAGUCGGGUGUGAAAUCUUGGAGCUUAACUCCGAAACUGCAUUCGAUACUGCCGUGCUUGAGGACUGGAGAGGAGACUGGAAUUUACGGUGUAGCGGUGAAAUGCGUAGAUAUCGUAAGGAAGACCAGUGGCGAAGGCGGGUCUCUGGACAGUUCCUGACGCUGAGGAC